CUCCCCGUAGUCUAAUGGAUAGAACUGGGGUUUCCUAAACCCCCAAUGCAGGUUCGAUUCCUGCCGGGGAGA
rnacentral:tRNA from 1 species